GACGAGCGCUGGCGGCGUGCUUAACACAUGCAAGUCGAACGGUGAAGCGCCUUCCUUUUUGGUGGGUGUGGAUGAGUGGCGAACGGGUGAGUAACACGUGAGUAACCUGCCCCCUUCUUCUGGAUAACCGCAUGAAAGUGUGGCUAAUACGGGAUAUUCUGGGUCUGUCGCAUGAUGGGUCUGGGAAAGAUAUUGUUUCGGUGGGGGAUGGGCUCGCGGCCUAUCAGCUUGUUGGUGGGGUGAUGGCCUACCAAGGCGGUGACGGGUAGCCGGCCUGAGAGGGUGGACGGUCACACUGGGACUGAGACACGGCCCAGGCUCCUACGGGAGGCAGCAGUGGGGAUUAUUGCACAAUGGGCGCAAGCCUGAUGCAGCGACGCCGCGUGAGGGAUGGAGGCCUUCGGGUUGUGAACCUCUUUCGCCAGUGAAGCAGGCCUGCCUCGUUUGUGGGUGGGUUGACGGUAGCUGGAUAAGAAGCGCCGGCUAACUACGUG
rnacentral:rRNA from 1 species